rnacentral:misc_RNA from 1 species
CACCGGUUCUCUGACCCCGUAACCUUGCCUCGGCCAAGUACUGAGCAGGAACAACAGGAGUAACCGAUUCCAUAAGCCGAUCUAAAUUAGUCAAAUUAGAGUUAACAGUAGGAGAAGCCGACACCGAGUUGGACAUACACAAUGUCGAAUCGUCCGAGUCAACACGGGUCUCUGCCUCAGCUGAAUCGAUUCGUUUGUCGCUGACGAAUGACCUCUGAAGUUGUU